rnacentral:rRNA from 1 species
ACCGUGAGGGAAAGGUGAAAAGUACCCCGAUAAGGGGAGUGAAAGAGAACCUGAAACCGUGUGCUUACAAUCUGCGAGAGCCCAAUGGCAUGUCCUGGGUGAUCGCGUACCUUUUGCAUAAUGGGGCGGCGAGUUAUCCUAUGCAGCAUGGUUAAGCCGUGAGGUGGAGCCGUAGCGAAAGCGAGUCUUAACAGGGCGAUGGUUGCAUGGGGUAGACCCGAAACCGGGUGAGCUAGCUAUGGGCAGGUUGAAGCUGGGGUAGGACCCAGUGGAGGACCGAACACACGGAUGUUGAAAAAUCCGGUGAUGACCUGUGGCUAGGGGUGAAAGGCCAAUCAAACUCGGUAAUAGCUGGUUCUCUCCGAAAAAUAUUUAGGUAUUGCGUGGCGUGAAUCCUACCGGAGGUAGAGAUACUGAUUGGGCUAGGGCUCUCACCAGAGUACCAAACCCAACCAAACUCCGAAUGCCGGUAAGGAAUGCGCUGCAGGCAGACUGUGGGUGAGAAGGUCCAUAGUCGAGAGGGAAAGAGCCCAGACUGGCAGCUAAGGUCCCUAAAUGCGUGCUUAGUGGAAAAGGAUGUGGAGUUGCUGAAACAAUCAGGAUGUUGGCUUAGAAGCAGCCAUCGUUUGAAGAAAGCGUAAUAGCUCACUGAUCUAGCGACUCUGCGCCGAAAAUGUAACGGGGCUCAAGCACGCUACCGAAGCUCCAGGAUCCUUUUAGGAUCGGUAGGAGAGCGUUCCAGUCGCAGCGAAGCUCAACCGUGAGGAUGGGUGGAGCGUCUGGAAGUGAGAAUGCCGCCAUGAGUAGCGAUAAAGGGGGUGAGAAUCCCCCUCGCCGUAAGUCUAAGGUUUCCACGGCCAGGAGAAUCCUCCGUGGGUUAGUCGGCCCCUAAGGCGAGGCCGAGAGGCGUAGUCGAUGGGAAUCAGGUUAAUAAUCCUGGACCAUUCAUUAGAUGUUGAAACGAGCGGGGACGGAGAAGGAUAGCCCAGCCGGUCAUGGUAAUGCCGGUGAAAGGUUGUAGGGGGGUGCCGUAGGAAUAAACGCGGUGCUGUUAACCCUGAGAACUGAAUGGCGAAGAGGCCCUCGAGGCCUUGAGUGAGGUGAUUCCAUGCUUCCAAGAAAAGCCGCGCGCGGAGUCUAAUGAUUGACCGUACCGCAAACCGACACAGGUAGACAGGGUGAGUAUCCCAAGGCGCGUGAGAGAACUCUGGUUAAGGAACUCUGCAAAUUGGCACCGUAACUUCGGGAGAAGGUGUGCCCCCAUACCGUGAUCCGGCUUGCCCGGCGUAGCGGGAGGGGGUCGCAGUGACCAGGCGGUAGCGACUGUUUAGCAAAAACACAGGUCUCUGCUAAAUCGUAAGAUGAUGUAUAGGGGCUGACGCCUGCCCGGUGCCGGAAGGUUAAGAGGACGUGUGCAAGCACCGAAUCGAAGCCCCGGUAAACGGCGGCCGUAACUAUAACGGUCCUAAGGUAGCGAAAUUCCUUGUCGGGUAAGUUCCGACCUGCACGAAUGGCGUAACGACUUCCGCACUGUCUCAACCAGGGACUCAGCGAAAUUGAACUGCCGGUGAAAAUGCCGGCUACCCGCAGCAAGACGGAAAGACCCCGUGAACCUUUACUAUAGCUUGGCAGUGGUAUUUGGAUCAUUUUGUAGAGGAUAGGUGGGAGACUUUGAAGCGGGGGCGCUAGCUCUCGUGGAGUCAUCCUUGGAAUACCACCCUGAAUGUUCUGGAUACCUAACCUGGACCCUUGAAGCAGGGUCAGGGACACUGUCUGGUGGGUAGUUUGACUGGGGCGGUCGCCUCCCAAAGUGUAACGGAGGCGCGCGAUGGUUCCCUCAGCCUGUUUGGAAAUCAGGCGAAGAGUGCAAUGGCAGAAGGGAGCCUGACUGCGAGACUGACGGGUCGAGCAGGUACGAAAGUAGGUCAUAGUGAUCCGGUGGUCCCGAGUGGAAGGGCCAUCGCUCAACG